rnacentral:rRNA from 1 species
AUUGAACGCUGGCGGCAUGCUUUACACAUGCAAGUCGAACGGUAACAGGCCGCAAGGUGCUGACGAGUGGCGAACGGGUGAGUAAUGCAUCGGAACGUGCCCAGUCGUGGGGGAUAACUACUCGAAAGAGUAGCUAAUACCGCAUACGAUCUAUGGAUGAAAGCGGGGGACCGUAAGGCCUCGCGCGAUUGGAGCGGCCGAUGUCAGAUUAGGUAGUUGGUGGGGUAAAGGCUCACCAAGCCAACGAUCUGUAGCUGGUCUGAGAGGACGACCAGCCACACUGGGACUGAGACACGGCCCAGACUCCUACGGGAGGCAGCAGUGGGAAAUUUUGGACAAUGGGCGCAAGCCUGAUCCAGCAAUGCCGCGUGCAGGAAGAAGGCCUUCGGGUUGUAAACUGCUUUUGUACGGAACGAAACGGCUCUGGUUAAUACCCGGGGCUAAUGACGGUACCGUAAGAAUAAGCACCGGCUAACUACGUG